UGGGGAAUAUUGCACAAUGGGCGGAAGCCUGAUGCAGCGACGCCGCGUGGGGGAUGAAGGCCUUCGGGUUGUAAACUCCUUUCGACAGGGACGAAGCUUUUGUGACGGUACCUGUAUAAGAAGCACCGGCUAACUACGUGCCAGCAGCCGCGGUAAUACGUAGGGUGCGAGCGUUGUCCGGAAUUACUGGGCGUAAAGAGCUCGUAGGUGGUUUGUCGCGUCGUCUGUGAAAUUCCGGGGCUUAACUCCGGGCGUGCAGGCGAUACGGGCUGACUUGAGUGCUGUAGGGGAGACUGGAAUUCCUGGUGUAGCGGUGAAAUGCGCAGAUAUCAGGAGGAACACCGAUGGCGAAGGCAGGUCUCUGGGCAGUAACUGACGCUGAGGAGCGAAAGCAUGGGUAGCGAACAGGAUUAGAUACCCUGGUAGUCCAUGCCGUAAACGGUGGGCGCUAGGUGUAGGGGGCUUCCACGUCUUCUGUGCCGUAGCUAACGCAUUAAGUGCCCCGCCUGGGGAGUACGGCCGCAAGGCUA
rnacentral:rRNA from 1 species